rnacentral:misc_RNA from 1 species
UACGGGGGUGGCAAGCGUUACUCGGAAUUAUUGGGUGUAAAGGGCAAGUAGGUGGUUUUGCAAGUGAGAGGUGAAAUCUCCCGGUUCAAUCGGGAAACUGCCUUUCAAACUGCAUAACUUGAGGAUGUCAGAGGGAAAUGGAAUUCUCGGUGUAAGGGUGAAAUCUGUAGAUAUCGAGAAGAACACCAGCGGCGAAGGCGAUUUCCUGGGACACUCCUGACACUGAAUUGCGAAAGCUAGGGGAGCGAACAGG